ACAACAGUAGUAGUCUUGGGACUGACUAAGAGUGUAGCUGAUGGCAAUACAGUCUCUGUUACAGUUUUAACCUGACCAUUUGCAACUGUGGUUCUCUUAGAUGCCACCCCAAGCACAUACCUUUUUCCUUCACUGGACUUCAAUCUCAUUAUCCGAAGAAGAAAUGAUAAUAAUGCCUAUUCUCCGCAAAAAGUUGAAAGGUCAGAAGAUAACAUAUGUCCCCAACACAGCAAUAAAGGAGAAUGACUCUUUCCCUGAAUGUUCAGGAAAAGAAAAGUGAGACAGGAUGUGCUGACCACUUAGCAUCGUCUCUGGCCACGCCAUCAUUAAAUAAAAUGUGAUAUUGGUCACGGUGUUCACAGAGCAUCGAAGGACCAAAGAUACAUACACUCGUUCUAAUCUACUGAGGAGUUGGGGAAAUUGAUAUUCAAGUGGAGCCUUGGAGAGAAGCGCCCUUUUCUAGAUGUGCAAAGAGGAAAGGUACAUUCACAGGGGACCAGUGUGGGGCUGUUGUGAAGACUCAGAGAUAAAGAGGAUUUGAGGGAGAAUCCCACAGUGCUAUACAAUACUGAGAAACAGGAGUAAAAGUAAAGUUGAAAUAAAGUUUUGAAUAUCUUUGAAAACCAGGUUAGAAUAUAAAUGUGUUUUACCAUGCCAUGGGACACCAUUAAAGAUUUUAAUGAGAAA